GGACAGAGUGUGUGUGUCUGUGUGGAGGAAGAGAUAGGAGUUGCCCACACAUGGCACUCAACUCUGCAGG
rnacentral:miRNA from 1 species